UUAUGAUGAUUGGUUUAGUUAGCUACAUUAGUGUUAUUUUGUCUAAUUAUCAAGGAUAACAUUCAAUUAUAUAUAAUAUGUCCUUCAUAUUUUCUCUUUUAAUUAAAAUCGUAAAAAGACUUGCAAUAUAGACCAUGCAUUUGUUAUGUUAUUUAUUGGAGUGAAUUGGUGUUUUUAUUGUGAUUGUCAAAUACUGUCUUUGUAAGUUAUCUAUUUUGUAUAUAUGAAAUCAACGAGAGUUUCACUCUUAUGGAAGGAUGUUGCCAGGUACCAAGAAGUAAGAACUGAUAGUUGUGUUAAUUAAUUAGUAUAAGUUAGCUCAAUGUUCAAUGUUCAAUGUUCAUGCUCUUUUGAGCUACAUAUGGCAAUGAAAAUUGAGUUUCUGUGUAAAAUAUGAAGCUAUUCAAUCAAGCAACUCUGCUUUUCAAUUUUCUUACAUCUAAGUCAAAUUCUUUUAUAAAUCUUCAAGAGAACAAAGUUAAUGCAGGUUCGUACUUAUUAAAUUUAACAUCAGACAAUGAAGUGUAAAAAGUGAAAUUCUUAUCUAUGAUAAGCACCUAAAAUAAUUGCAUUGAGUUUUUCAAUUUUCAAAUUUUCAUUGCUAACUCAACAAUUGAGAGACUGAAACAUAUGGAAUAAGAAAUUAACAUAUUCAAACCAAACGAGUAUUCAACUUAGAUGAUUCAAUAUAACACCUAAUAAGCUUAUGAGUCUUAUUUAAGGAAUAUUAUAAUUUUACUUGGAUUGCUAGAAAUCACGGGAUGUUAUUCAUUUAAGUAUAUGAUACACUUGUUUGAUGAAUUGCUUAUAUGAGUAGAUUAUAUUUUUAUUUUGGUCAUAUUUCUUAUUUUUCUAAUCUCAUCUGUCCCCUAUUUCCCAUCCCACAUCAAAUGGUGAUAGAGCUUCCAUAUCAUAUGUCGAACCCAUUAAAGCCAAAAGUAAGAAGUUAAAGAACUAUUUUGUACUGGCUAUACAAAGAACUAUAUUACAGUACUACACACCCAAAAAAAAAAAAAAUGAAGGCACCAUUCAUACUUCCAAAUCCAGCACUAGCACUUGAAAACAAUAGAAACAAAGGAAUUUGCCAAUAAAAAAAGUCAGCUUGAGAAAGCUAAGAAGAUGCAACUAGAAGCUAAGUGAUGUAAGGGAAGGAAAUCUAUUCCGAAAGAACUCCAAAUUGAAUUCAGGAAGUAACAUUGACUUACCCAGUUACAAAAGGAAGCCACUUUAAUCCUUUAAGAUGAUUAUGAUGAAAUUGGUUCCCUGUAUUGAAACAAUAAACUGCACCAAGGAUAGCACUAAAGGUAGAGCCAGAUUACAAGGGAAGAAAAAAGGGAGGAAAAAAAAAUUUACAACAUGAAAUUGGACUUUUGUUUUAUCUUCCACAAUCAAGAAAUUCGACUAAAAAAGUAUAAAACAAGUACAAAAUAUGAAAUUUUUAGCAAUCUUACAAAAUCACACCCAAAUCUCAAUAAGAUUAUACAUAGUUUUAGUAAAGCUCUACAACUAUUUAUUUAACACCUAAUAAGAUCAUCUCCACAAAUUUAAAAGCUUAAAACAAAGAAAGAAUACUUUUGAAUACAAAUAUACAAUGGAGUAGAAAGAGUACAUAUACCAUCUCUAGCCCAUAAUUCAGACUUAUCCCCAUUGCACUUAUAAAUCAAGAUAUGAAGUUGAGGGUCUAAAGUCUUCAACUCCUUGUAGUUCUUCUUCACAGAUGAUCUGUAAAAGUUAUAAUAGAAAGGUAAUUAGUUUGCAACUCUUUCUAGCAAGUUGAUUAGUAAUUCCUAACCAAGUUUAUAGCUUAUUAAUUAUAGUUGGAAUGCCCCCAAAGUUAUUAAACCCCAACCAAUAGAAACAGUGAGUUUUAAAUUAGUUGUGAGCAAUGCAUAGUCAGCCAUCAUUCUCAUUUUGGUCUCCCAUGAAUAUGAUGGCAAUAUGUAUAAUGGUAUUUUCCCAAUAUCAGACUAAGACAGCAUCUUUAUAACAAUAAUUCUGACAUUUUCUACUAUUUUUAUCUUUUUGCUAACAAAAUGUACAUUAGAACAUAAAUUUGAAGAAAAAUAAAAUUUAAGCAUACUCAUGUCAUUUAAUCAUAAAAAUGAACAUCAAAAUUAAGCCUAGAUCUCAACAAUUAAACUCUAAACAAAUUAAACAAAAAAAAAAAAUCAGCUACCCAAAUGAAAUUUGCGACUGCAAUGAAGCUCCGCACUUUUUGAACUUUUUGAGGCUUAGACUGAUUUGUAAUGUAGAGUUGUGCUUGAGAGUGAAGGAGUAGAGCUUAUCAAUUCGUUCAUCACUCACUGCAAAUUUGCCAAGUUUUGAUAUGUUAGCUUAAUCUAUUUACAAAACCAAACGACACCAAUUAUUUUAUUAUUUUAAAAUUUUUAAAAUUAAUUAAAUAUCAACAAUGGCAAUUUUCAAAUUAAACAAAUCUUAAAAAAUUUAAAAUUGUUAUAUUUUCGCGACAAAACGAUAUAUGUCAUAAAAUUUAUAUUAUAAAAAUGUAUGGUAAUUAUCCACCGAUC
rnacentral:lncRNA from 1 species